UCGAACACUCACAAAGUGACCCCAGGUCAGGCGGGACUACCCGCUA
rnacentral:rRNA from 1 species